UGGGGAAUAUUGGACAAUGGGCGCAAGCCUGAUCCAGCCAUGCCGCGUGCAGGAUGACGGUCCUAUGGAUUGUAAACUGCUUUUGUACAGGAAGAAACAGUUCUACGUGUAGAACCUUGACGGUACUGUAAGAAUAAGGAUCGGCUAACUCCGUGCCAGCAGCCGCGGUAAUACGGAGGAUCCAAGCGUUAUCCGGAAUCAUUGGGUUUAAAGGUCCGUAGGCGGUUAGAUAAGUCAGUGGUGAAAGCCCAUCGCUCAACGGUGGAACGGCCAUUGAUACUGUCUGACUUGAAUUAUUAGGAAGUAACUAGAAUAUGUAAGUGUAGCGGUGAAAUGCUUAGAGAUUACAUGGAAUACCAAUUGCGAAGGCAGGUUACUACUAAUGGAUUGACGCUGAUGGACGAAAGCGUGGGUAGCGAACAGGAUUAGAUACCCGCGUAGUCCCUGAGCGGGCUGGCAAGGCGCAU
rnacentral:rRNA from 1 species